rnacentral:rRNA from 1 species
UCUAGUUAAUUCUACUAGUAGUUAUAUACUUAUCUUAAAAAUUAAACUAUAUAUAUUUAAAUAUAAGUAAUUAUAUAGUGAAACUGCAAAUAGCUUAUUAUAUAAGUUAUUAUUUAUUUAAUAGUAUUUUACUAUUUAAAUAACUAUAGUAAUUCUAAAACUAAUAUAUACUAAAAAUCCCAACUUCAGAAGGGAUAUAUUUAUUAGAUUAAAAACUAAUAUCCUUCGGAGCUUACUAGUGAUUUAUAAUAACUUCUUGAAUUAUAUAGUUUUAUACUAGCGAUAGUUUAUUUAAAUUUCUUCCCUAUUAACUUUCGAUACUAAAGUAGUAUUUUAGUAUAAUUAUAAUAAGUAAUAGAGAGUUAGGACUUAACCCCAGAGAAAAAACCUGAGAAAUAGCUACUAUAUCUAAGGAAAGCAGUAAGUAUAUAAAUUACUUAAUCCUAAUACAGAGAAGUAGUAAUAAUAAAUACUGAUAUAGAGCUCUUUUAGGUUUUAUAAUUAGAAUAAAUACAAUUUAAAUCCCUUAAUGAGAAAUAAUUAGAGAGUAAGUCUAGUACUAACAGCUGUAGUAAUUCCAGCUCUAAUAGUAUAUAUUAAAGUUAUUAUAGUUAAAAAGCUUAUAGUAGAACUUUAAGCCUAACUAGUUAGUCUGCCUCACUAUAUAUAUUAGUCUAGCUAAGCUUUUCCUUCUGUGGAACUAUAUACUCUUCACUAAAUAUACUGGGGAAAUAGAAUUUUUACUUUAAAAAGAUUAGAAUAUUUUAGGUAGACUUAUAUUUAAAUAUAUUAGUAUAGAAUAAUAAAAUAGGAUAUAUAGUUCUAUUUUAUUAGUUUCUAGGAUUGUUAUAAUAAUUAAUAGGGAUAGUUAGGAGUAUUAGUAUUUAAUUAUUAGAAGUGAAAUUCUUAGAUUUAUUAAAAACUAACUACUAUAAAAGUAUUUACUAAAGAUAUUUUUAUUUAUUAGAAACGAAAGUUAGAAGAUUAAAGAUAAUUAGAUAUUAUUAUAAUCUUAACUAUAAACUAUACUAACUAGGAAUCGGAUAAUAUUAUUUUUUAACUUAUUUAGUAUCUUAUAAGAAAUUAAAAUACUUAAGCUCCAGGGGGAGUAUAGUUAUAAAGCUGAAACUUAAAGAAAUUAACAGAAAGAUACCACUAGGGGUAAAUAGUAGCUAUUUAAGCUCUACUCCAGAUAGUAAGCCUGUAAAAAGUCUAGUAGUUAGCUCCGAAUCACUAGUUACCCUAACGGUAGUGAUAUCCUCUAAUUAUAGGAAACUCUCAGAGGGUAACACUCCUAAGUAGCAUUCAAAAGAGAUACUAUAGUAAUAGUAUAAUAGCCACUAGUAUAGAGAUAAUAUACUACUUAUAAGGUAACUUGCAGCUAAGCUCCUAACUACAGGGAAGGUUUAGAGACUUAAUAGAGAUAAGUAACACUCCCAGACGCCACUUAAGAUAGAAUCUAUACCCACUUGAGAGAGUAGAAACUAACUAGCAUAUUACCUAAAAAGGGAGCCUACAGUUUAAUUUAACUUAAUAUAGAGAAACUUACUAAAUCCAGACAUAAUAAAAAUUAACAGAUUAAGAGCUUUUUCUUAAUUUUAUAGGUAGUAAUAUAUAACUAUUCUUAGUUAGUAGAGUAGUUUAUCUAUUUAAUUAUAAUAAUAAAUAAGAUCUUAAUCUACUAAAUAGUCUAUAUUAUUUUAGCAGUAUACUAACUUCUUAGAGGGACUAUCAGUUCAAGCUAAUAGAAAUUUAAAGUAAUAAUAGGUUAACUUUUAUAAGUUUAUAAUAGU